rnacentral:rRNA from 1 species
CAGCAGCCACGGUAAUACGUAGGUGGCAAGCGUUGUCCGGAAUUAUUGGGCGUAAAGGGCUCGCAGGCGGUUUCUUAAGUCUGAUGUGAAAGCCCCCGGCUCAACCGGGGAGGGUCAUUGGAAACUGGGAAACUUGAGUGCAGAAGAGGAGAGUGGAAUUCCACGUGUAGCGGUGAAAUGCGUAGAGAUGUGGAGGAACACCAGUGGCGAAGGCGACUCUCUGGUCUGUAACUGACGCUGAGGAGCGAAAGCGUGGGGAGCGAACAGGAUUAGAUACCCGCGUAGUCCCUGUCUCUUAUAC